GUAAUUCCAAAGUACAUAUACUAAAAUUGGAAAGAUACAGAGAAGAUUAGGAUGGCCCCUGCGCAAAGAUGACACGCAAAAUGGUGAAGCGUUCCACAUUUUU
rnacentral:snRNA from 1 species